AUUGAACGCUGGCGGCAUGCUUUACACAUGCAAGUCGAACGGCAGCGCGGUAAUAGGCCUGGCGGAGAGUGGGGGACGGGUGAGUAAUUCAUGGGAACGUGGGCAGUUGCGUGGGCUAGGUCGGCGACGGAGGGAAUCAUACCGCAAUAGACCUGACGGCGAACGGGGGAGAGCAUCGGACCUUGGGACAUUGCGCGGGCCGAUGGGCGGAUGUCGGGUUAGCUAGGUGGCGGGGUAAAGGCCCACCAAGGCGACGAUGGGUAGCUGGUCUGAGAGGACGACCAGCCACACUGGAACUGAGACACGGCCCAGACUCCUACGGGAGGCAGCAGUGGGGAAUUUUGGACAAUGGGCGCAAGCCUGAUCCAGCAAUACCGCGUGUGUGAUGAAGGCCUUCGGGUUGUAAAGCACUUUUGUUGGGAACGAAAAGCACUGGGCCAAUACCACGGUUUUAUGACGGUACCCACAGAAUAAGCACCGGCUAACUUCGUG
rnacentral:rRNA from 1 species